GAAUCCGUUUCCUGCUUGGCACUCCUGGAAUGGUGGCACUUGACCUAGAUGCUACCUUAAAGGGACUUUUCCAAAGGAUUGUUCAACAUCUAGAGAACAUACCAAAACCUCAGGGAGAAAACAUUUCUACAAUCUCAUGUGAUUUAUCGGAGUUACGCAAAGAUUGGUUAACUGUGUUGAUGAUUGUCACUUCUGCUCGUUCAUCAAUCAACAUUAGACAUUUAGAGAAAGCGACUGUAUCCACUGGCAAAGAGGGGUUGCUGUCAGAAG